CGAUCCACUAAACUUUGUUCAGUAACCAAGCUGUGCACAUAAACCUGGAAAAUAAAAAAAUAAAAAGCUAUAAAGUGCAUCAUAAAUUCACAAAGCCAAUGCUGGCAGCGUACUAAUAACUUACCUCUGAAGCACCUGCACCAGAUGAACUAGGCUGAAAGGACACGAUCUUGCCUACAAAACCAAAAGACACCGCAUAAAGCAGUAGGGGUAGCCGUAAUAACCGAGACGCCGCAUUAAGCGGGAAGAUGUAAUAACCGAAAGGACGCCGCACGAAACGGGAAUGGGUAAUAACCGAAUGGACGCCGCACGAAACGGGUAUGGGUAAUAACCGAAAGGACGCCGCACGAAGCGGGUAGGGGUAAUAACCGACGGAGGGUAAUAAUGGACGGAACGCCGCACGAAGCGGUAAGGGGUAAUAACCGAAAGGAUGCCGCACGAAGCGGUAGGGGUAGUGACCGACGGGACGCCGCACGAAGCGGGUAGGGGUGAUAACCGACGGGAGGCCGCAUGAAGCGAGUAGGGGUAACAACCGAAGGGAUGCCGCACGAAGCGGGAAAGGGUAAUAACCUAAGAGACGCUGCACGAAGCGGGGAAGGGUUAAUAACCAAAGAGACGCCGAACAAAGCGGAUAGGUGUAAUUGUCAGGACCCACCCCGAAUUUUACCCUAAAACCCGGAGUAAGUCCUGCGAGGACCACUCCCAAGGAAAGAUUUACCGAAAAAUUGGCAAAACCUCCCUUGAAAAUGGACAACCCUUACCUGAAAAAUUUCAAAUUUACACUCCUACUAACACACAUCUAACCUUAACUCCUGGAGCCAUCCGCUCCCCGCAAACACAACCACCACAUAAUCAACAAUACAUCAACAUCCAAACAUCACAUAAAUAUUCAGCUUAAACAUUAAACCUUAUCCUUCAGAUACUCUAAACAGAAAUCAACAGACCGAGCACACCACCGAAAUAAUUUACAUUAAUCCCAAAGUAUUCAGAGCUACUAGACACUAGUGGAAGCAAGAAAACACGGGUAGGUUAAACAGGUAACCUACUGGUGAAAAGUGGAGGAAAUGCGGGUGACUAUGCCUCGCCUCCUACUAGAUCCAACCCGAACUCUACAGACUGGGCAAUUUAAAACAAAUAGCCCAGGGGAAAACAUUUAAUAACGUUAGAGUGAGUGGACAAAAAUAAAUUAAUAAAUAAAAUAUUUAUGUUUCCCCAAAUCAAUUUCCAAAGAAAAAUCGAAUACAUGCCGCAAGUAAUAAAACUUUUAUCUUAUAAAAUAUCGAGCCUCUCAGGCUCUAUAAUAUAUGUAUGUAUUUACACACGUCCAUACUCCCUAUAUAAAUUCAUGGGUCUAUAUAGGGCUGCAACGCUCGCGUCCAAUGCUCACGUCACGCCUUAAUGCGGUGCUACACUACGCCAUUAAGGUGGACAGACGGGUGUAUAAAUAUGUGUCCAUACCCCCUGUAUAAAUUAAACACUCAUGUAGGGCUACUACGCUCACGUCCAACGCUCACGUCACAUCAUAAUGCGGCUAUAUGCUACGCCAUUAAGGUGGACAGACACAUAUGGCUAGCUAGCAUUUAUAUACAUACUCUCCUCAAUAUACAUAUUAUACUUACCGAAAAAUCCCAUUUUUCAGUAACUCUCCAAGAGAAAUAAAAGCGUCAAAAUUAAAUGACGUCAAAACUCCAACAAUUUUAAAUGUUCAACCAAAACCAUAGCAUGCACAUUAUUUAAAAUAAAAGUCCACUCACAAAUUAGGCCUAAGCCUGAUGUCGAUCUGGGGCCUCGUUUCAUCGAGCCUCAUCAUGUCCUGUUCCAAAUAUAAUAUUAAUUUCCCAACCGAAAUUCCAAUACUUACUCAAAAAUAGGCAAAAUAAAUAUGAGCCGUAACCAAGCUCAUUCUCGCCUAACAUCGAUAUUCCUAAAUCGAAACGAUCCAAACUUUAAUACCAUAAUAGGCAGCCUUAACACAACCUCCCACAGAUUUAACGACUUUAAAUCCUACAGCCGGAUUCUACAUUAAUUAACCGCUAAAAAUACCAAACUUCGGAAAAUCUCAAACCUAUCCAAAACUCAUCAAAAAAUUCCAUAAUUCACAUCAAUAAACUCCUCUUAAUUUUCCACAUUUAAAACAAAAAAAUCUCCCACACAGCGGCGGCGGCCGGAGGCCGACUCCGGCGACCUCCAAUGCCUAAGAAAUUUUGACAGCAUCUUCCUCUCAACCCCCUCUACAACUUUCUUAACUAGCACAAACACCAAUUCCAAGCCUAACUAGGUCAAUUGAGCAAAAACAUCCUAAAAGCCUAAAAAAUUCAACUCCACAUUUCUCCUUACCUAGCUCAAGAGAGGGUGAGACCUUUGGAGGGGUUGUUGCACGGGUGGAGGGCUCUCUUUUGAGCCAAGCAGCUCCGGCUAUGGCGGCCGGAGAAGGAAGUUCCGACGAGAAAACCACCACGACAGUCGGACCUCUCGGGGGUGAGAACUCGUUCACGGCGGAGCUAGGGCGGCUCUCACCGGCCUAGAAUGGAAGCUGGGUUGGAGGCCGACCGAACGGGACCGGUGCGGCGGCGGUUGGUGGCCGGAAGACGGCGAACGGUCGGGUUGAAGUUUCGGCAAGGUGAUGGCUUAGGAGGAAGACCGGGAGAGAGAAAGAGAAAAGAAAGAGAGGGAGAUGGGUUUGGGCCUCUCCAAACCGGUCCAACACCUAUAUACCCACACCAACUCCAAAAUAAAACACACCGAAAAAUAAAUACACUAAUAAAAAUUACCUUUUACUAGUUAAAAUUUACCAUUUUUACCGUCGUCAUAUUUUUCUCCUACGAAUAAUCCUCCGAAAAUACAUGUCCCCCAAACCCCUCUAGGGACCAAUUAAACUAUAACCUCAAUGACGGAGACGGUAAAAUUAUUAUUAUAACCAAGCUAGUAAAUAAGGUAAAAAUUUAAGGGUCGGGAUGUGACAGUAAUAACCGAAGGGACGCCGCACGAAACGGGAAGAGGUAAUAACUAAAGGGACGCCGCACGAAGCGGUAAGGGGUAAUAACCGACGGGACGCCACACGAAACGGUAGUGUAAUAACCGAAAGGACGCCGCACGAAGCGGUUAUGGGUAAUAACCGAAGGGACGCCGCACAAAGCGGUAGGGGUAAAAACCGACACAACGUCGCACGAAACGGGUAGGGGUGAUAACCGAAUGGACGCCGCACGAAACGAGAAGGGGUAAGAACCGAUGGGACGUUGCACGAAACAAGAAAGGAUGAUAACCGAAGGGACGUCGCACGAAGCGUGAAGGGGUAAUGACCGAAGGGACGCCGCAUGAAACGGUAAGGAGUAGUGACAGACGGGACGCCGCACGAAGCGGUAGGGGUCAUAACCGAUGGGACGCCACACGAAGAGGUUAGAGGUAAUAACCUAAAAGACGCCGCACGAAGCGGUAAGGGGUAAUAACCGACGGGAUGCCGCACGAAGCGGUAGGGUAGUGACCGAAGGGACGCCGCACGAAGCGGGUAGGGAAUAACCGAUGGGACGCCACACGAAGCGAAAAGGUAAUAACCGAAGGGAUGCAGCACGAAGCGGGGAAGGGGUAAUAACCGAAGGGAGGCCACACGAAAAGGGAAGGAGUAAUAACCGAAGGCAAGCAGCACGAAGCGGUAAGGGGUAAUAACCGAUGGGACGCCACACGAAACGCUAGCAUAAUAAUCGAAAAGACGCCGCACGAAACGGUUAUGGGUAAUAACCGAAUGGACGCCACACAAAGCGGUAGGGGUAAAAACCAACAGAACGCCGCACAAAGCGGGUAGAGGUAAUAACCAAAGGGUCGCUGCACGAAAUGUUAAUGGGUAAUAACCGAAUGGAUGCCGCAGGAAGCGGGGAAGGGGUAAUAACUGACGAAACGUCGCAUGAAGCGGUAAGGGGUAAUAACCGAAGGGACGCCGCUCGAAGCGGUAAGGGGUAAUAACCGACGGGACGCCGCACGAAGUGGGUAGGGGUAAAAACCGACAGAACGUCACACGAAGCGGGUAAGGGUAAUAACCACAGGGUCGCCGCACGAAGUGUUAAGGGGUAAUAACUGAAUAGACGCUGCACGAAGCGGGAAAGGGGUAGUAACCGAAGGACGCCGCACGAAGCGGAAAAGGGUUCUUUAAGAGUUAUGAAAAGAAUAAUUACUUAGUGUUUUAAGUCUUGAAUGUGUUUGUGUAUUUAAGUCUCAAGUAUUUUUAAGAGUCUUAUUAUUAAUAAGUUAUACAAGCCUUAUGGUAUUCUAGGAAACCAGAGGUUUUAUUUAAAGCCUAUAAAUGACUUUCUAAUGUACUCCGAAGAGAAGAUUGGAAUGAAUUAAGAUUUUAGUUAUUGAAGGCUUGGCCUUGUUCCUCCCCCCUAACCUCUCUCAUUUUAUUUCUCUCUUCUAAAGCUAAGAAACCCCUAUCCCUUCCGAAACCCUUAUGUUUUCUUAAUCUGUUUUUUUAAUCGCUCGACAUUCUCCAACCACACUAUUCUCUAUCAUUGACUAUUGGCCUCUCCCUGCAUUAAUGAUAAUUCACCAAUUUUGGUAGUAUAGAAAUAUCAAAGAGAGAUAUAAAGUGCGAAAAAAAGGAAAGACUUGAACAGAAAAAGUUUUACCUGAUAUGUUUCUACUCAUAUGUCACUUCAGA
rnacentral:lncRNA from 1 species